UACGUAGGGUGCGAGCGUUGUCCGGAAUUACUGGGCGUAAAGCGUACGUAGGCGGCUUUGUAAGUUAGAGGUGAAAGCCCGGGGCUCAACCCCGGAAUUGCCUUUAAGACUGCAUCGCUUGAAUCGCGGAGAGGUGAGUGGAAUUCCGAGUGUAGAGGUGAAAUUCGUAGAUAUUCGGAAGAACACCAGUGGCGAAGGCGGCUCACUGGACGCGUAUUGACGCUGAGGUACGAAAGCGUGGGGAGCAAACAGG
rnacentral:rRNA from 1 species